UUUAUAUAAGAAAACUUUCUGGAAAUUGAACUAUUUAUUCUAAUCAAUAGGUAUGCUAAAGGUUAUUUGACAUUGCAAUUUGGAGCCAAAGUAGUUCUUGUUCACGAAUAUGGUUAUCUGGAGAGGAAAAGAUGAAAGUAUGUAGUGGGCUGAGCAACGAGAAGCUGUCAUCCGAUGCCACUUUGCUUAUAAUUAAAAUUUCCCUUCAAAAUCUGCUGGACAAACUCUCAUCACUCAGCAAGUGAAGCUCAAAAGCUUGGUUCAAGAAACCAAUCAAGUCAGUUCGAUAAACCUUAUAGUAUCAUGGACUCAAUAAAUUCAGGAAAAAAAGAUCAGCAGAUCCAACUGGAUCUUUCAACUGAGAAUAAGGAGCUCAAAGAACAUUUACUAGGCCAAAUGGCAGAGAUCUUGAAAUCAAGAAAAAUAUCAAGCCAUAACAAUGUCAGAUCAUUAUCUAGAUUAUAUUCUUGACUGAUAUUAUGAAAUCCAAUCAUUUUAAUUCACUUUA